UACGUAGGGUGCGAGCGUUAAUCGGAAUUACUGGGCGUAAAGGGUGCGCAGGCGGUUCUGCAAGUUAGGCGUGAAAUCCCCGGGCUUAACCUGGGAAUGGCGCUUGAAACUACGGGACUGGAGUAUGGCAGAGGGAGGUGGAAUUCCACGUGUAGCGGUGAAAUGCGCAGAUAUCAGGAGGAACACCGGUGGCGAAGGCGGAUCUCUGGGCCUUACCUGACGCUGAGGCGCGAAAGCUAGGGGAGCGAACAGG
rnacentral:rRNA from 1 species